rnacentral:rRNA from 1 species
UACGGGAGGCAGCAGUGGGGAAUAUUGGACAAUGGGCGAAAGCCUGAUCCAGCAAUGCCGCGUGAGUGAUGAAGGCCUUAGGGUUGUAAAGCUCUUUUACCCGGGAUGAUAAUGACAGUACCGGGAGAAUAAGCCCCGGCUAACUCC